rnacentral:rRNA from 1 species
UCCUCCCUCUUUCUUCGUGCUUAACACAUGCAAGUCGAACGGAAAGGCCUCUUUCGGGGGGUACUCGAGUGGCGAACGGGUGAGUAACACGUGAGUAACCUGCCCUUGACUUUGGGAUAACUUCAGGAAACUGGGGCUAAUACCGGAUAGGAGCUCCUGCUGCAUGGUGGGGGUUGGAAAGUUUCGGCGGUUGGGGAUGGACUCGCGGCUUAUCAGCUUGUUGGUGGGGUAGUGGCUUACCAAGGCUUUGACGGGUAGCCGGCCUGAGAGGGUGACCGGCCACAUUGGGACUGAGAUACGGCCCAGACUCCUACGGGAGGCAGCAGUGGGGAAUAUUGCACAAUGGGUGGAAGCCUGAUGCAGCAACGCCGUGUGCGGGAUGACGGCCUUCGGGUUGUAAACCGCUUUCGCUCAUGACGAAGCUUUGUGUGACGGUAGUGGGUAAAGAAGCACCGGCUAACUACGUG